AAAAUUUAGUUAAAAUAUAAAAUUAGUUUGUCAAACUAA
rnacentral:tRNA from 1 species